rnacentral:rRNA from 1 species
UACAGAGGUCUCAAGCGUUGUUCGGAUUCAUUGGGCGUAAAGCGCGCGUAGGCGGCCCGGUAAGUCCGCUGUGAAAGUCAAAGGCUCAACCUUUGAAUGUCAGCGGAUACUGCCGGGCUAGAGUCCGGAAGAGGCGAGUGGAACUCCUGGUGUAGCGGUGGAAUGCGCAGAUAUCAGGAAGAACACCAACGGCGAAGGCAGCUCGCUGGGACGGAACUGACGCUAAGGCGCGAAAGCGUGGGAAGCGAACAGG